AUUACAUAAAAUAGAAAUGUUAUUCGCAGUGGACUAUCUGUGACCUUAAGUGGGUACCACUGCAUGGAAAAACAUUGAAAAGCAUUUAAGUUCGCUCCGCCUUUCAACAAGUUGGAAGCAAUGCAAUUUACGGAUGCAGGAGGCGGUGAACCGGUGGAAGGGAGAGGACGAAGGGGUACAGGGAUGCAAGGACAUGGCCAUUAGUGGGCCACGAGAGGAAUAGAAAAAGUAUGCCAAGCUGACCACACAGCGCAGGAUAACAGAGACGAGAAUGAGAACGAGAACGAGGACGAGGAGCUGGAAAAGUGGAGUCUCUGAAUGCGGACACGGACGUCUGGCAAAUUGUAAAUUAAUUGAUGAAGGCAACGUUUAGAAGGGACAGGGACAAACUCUCGGACUCCGGAAUCCAGUGGCGGUUAACUAAAAUAUUUUGAGGGGUUUCGAUAGAAUUAAGGUCAGAGGCUAUGUGAGAUUUCAAUGUCUAUAAAUUAGUUCUGACAUUGUAGACCCCACUUGCUCUCAGGCAACAAAGUAAUUUAUUUAUUGGUUUAGUGAGUUAUGCUCCUAACUCUUUACUUGGUUUACUUCUUAUAGGGUGACCCCCAUUGGCCCCUUUGUGUUCAGCCCUGGAAUCGAGAAAUUGGAACUGCAACUGGCAUCUCGAGUCGAAAGAGGGGGCAAAAAGGAGCUCUGACAAAUUGCUGGUAGCAAGAUUAAUGCCUGCAUUAUCUUUCCUCAUUUGUCGAUUGUCAAUGCAACUGGGCCGCGUCCGCAGCAGAAUAACAACAACACUAACAACAACAACAAGAAGAAGAACAACAACAACAUCAUUGGCAACAACUGCAAGGAUAAACAAGAGGACGCCCCUGGGGCGUGGCAGUUUACCUUUACCUUUGCGUUCUACCUGUCCUGUGCCGCAUUGUUCUCUGAUUUCCCAUUUUCCUCAUCUCUAUCGCUGACAUUUUUCAAUUUGAUGAUGCUCUCGUCCUUAUUUCCCGAGUGCUUUUCUUAUUUUCCCUUUUUUUUUAAUGGCAUCUGGCGUUGGACAAGGUAAUUUCAUUUUUAUAUUAAUGACAGUAUGUUUGAUGCAUGUCCCUUCAUGUUCGUCGCGCUCGCUUAAUCACUUAAGACUCUUAAAUGCGCAAAAAAACAUUGUGCCAUAUGGGUACUCUUAAUGGCGAAUUGUUCGAUGAAAUAUAUAUGUACAUUUCCCGGUUUUGUUCAAUUUAAUGCCUGCGGGAGUGCUGCAAUUCGCCAACACGAAACUCGAAAUUUCCUCUAAUUAGUCAAGUCAUCGAUAAUUCAUCGGUGGGGGAAACUGGCAUCGCGUGCCAAUCGAAAAGCUAAUUUCGUGUGUGACAAUUGCAGUUGGGUAAGCUCAAUUGAAAAUGCAAUUGCCAAAAACUAGUUGAAUAAUGAACAAAAGCGCUUAUUGGUUUCCUUUUCAAUUAGCCACAUCAAUUUUAAACAAUUAAAAUCUUUUUUUUAUUCAAGCAAUAGUACAUCACUGAUUAGUGUCAUCUCUAAAAGUAAGUUUACGCAUUUGUUUUCUGUGAAAAGUGUGAAAUAUGUUCAAGUGUCAAAGGGCAUGUGAGAAUUCUCAGUGAAAGUGAAAGUUUUCAAUAAAUAAUUAAGUGUUUAUGGACAGCAAAGCCUUUGAAUUAUCAAAGGCCUGCAAUUAACUGAUUUGCAUCAAUCAAUAAUUGUGUUUAUUCAAUAACAGGUAGGGAAAAUAUCCUGCAGCAUAUCAUCAAAAUCAAAGGCGGUGAGUGUGGAAUUUCCAUAUUUUCCGUUUGCCCUUAGACUUUACACCUUUAACAACCUGUCCAUUUGGAGCUUCCCAUUUCUGCCAAAUUGUGAAUGCCACCAAUUAACAGAGGCCUGCUUCCAAAAAAAAAAAGAAACGAAAAUAGAAAAAGGCGAGACAAUAUGUUCAGCUGAGCUCAAACAACUGCAGGCUAAAAUCUAAAUCCUUGCCGGCAAAUAGAAAAAGUAGAAAGGAUGAGGUUCGAGGACGAAGGAGGAGGAUUCCGAAGUCGGGGGUCCAACAUUCCGGAUGAUGUGCCUGUUGGACGUCGAAAAACUAGCGAACUUUGCAGACAGAACAAUGCCCUUCGGAUUUCGAGCAGAGUGGAAUUUUAGGUCUAAAUCCGGCCGGGUCAUAAAAAGUGCUUAUUACAUUAUCACCUCAAGCGUGGCUGAGCCGGCUGUGGGCAGUGCCACGCCCACCCACACACACACUGACUCGUCCACAAAACGCAAUUCACUCUCCCUCUCAGUCCCUUUGUGCGGAUUUCCAAGACCUUUCAAAGGGUAUUAGCAUUUUUACAUCUCUUUGAACUAGAAAUUGCCAGCAGAAAAUUCAAUGUAUUAGAAUAGAAAAUCUGAUCUUUAUCAUGGAUUUAGGAUCAUACUGUGUUCAGAAAA